CCAACAGGGAUUGCCUUAGUAACGGCGAGUGAAGCGGCAAUAGCUCAAAUUUGAAAGCUGGCCCCUUCGGGGUCCGCGUUGUAAUUUGUAGAGGAUGAUUCGGCGAGGGCUCCCGUCUAAGUCCCUUGGAACAGGGCGUCAUAGAGGGUGAGAAUCCCGUAUGUGAUGGGCUGCCUUAGCCAUGUGAAUCUCCUUCGACGAGUCGAGUUGUUUGGGAAUGCAGCUCUAAAUGGGAGGUAAAUUUCUUCUAAAGCUAAAUACCGGCCAGAGACCGAUAGCGCACAAGUAGAGUGAUCGAAAGAUGAAAAGCACUUUGGAAAGAGAGUUAAAAAGUACGUGAAAUUGUUGAAAGGGAAGCGCUUGCAGCCAGACUUGUCCGCAGUUGCUCAGCUUGUCUCCUGACAGGCGUACUCUUCUGCGGCCAGGCCAGCAUCAGUUCGGGCGGUCGGAUAAAGACCUAGGGAAUGUAGCUCCUCUCGGGGAGUGUUAUAGCCCUGGGUGCAAUGCGGCCAGCCUGGACUGAGGAUCUCGCUUCGGCUAGGAUGCUGGCGUAAUGGCUGUAAGCGGCCCGUCUUGAAACACGGACC
rnacentral:rRNA from 1 species